rnacentral:misc_RNA from 1 species
GAUGAAGAACGCAGCGAAACGCGAUAGUUAAUGUGAAUUGCAGAAUUCAGUGAAUCAUCGAGUCUUUGAACGCACAUUGCGCCCAUUGGUAUUCCGUUGGGCAUGUCUGUUUGAGCGUCAUUACAACAGUUCAGCGUAAGCUGGUUAUGAGUUCUGUUUUUUUAAACAAAAAACAGGCUUUAAAAUGUAUGUUCUGCAGGUCGCUUUGCUAAACCCUAAACAUUAAAUACUGUUCUAGUGAAGCAUUUGCGACUCUGCCUGAAAAAAAACUUUUGUUAAAGUUUGACCUCAGAUCAGACAAGGAUACCCGCUGAACUUAAGCAUAUCAAUAAGCGAGGA